rnacentral:tRNA from 1 species
GCUAACUGAGUGUCUUCGCACGUUGACUUUUCGCGUCAAAGGGGUAUAUUAAGUACAUUUAGCU